GCCGGAAGUCUGGGGACGCGCCCUAGAGGCGCGGACCAGGUGCAGCUGGCGGUAGACAGGUCUCGGCGCCAGAUCCAGCUUCCUAGAGGAGCCGUGUCUCCUGCAGCUUUGGGUGCCACCUGUUGUGCCAGGCGCACGCCGCUGAACACGAGGAGAUGCCGUUUGGAUUCUCCGUGAAUGUUCGGAGGAGGAAUACCAGAGGUGCCGGCUGAAAACUAUCCAAACAAAAGAAAUAUGUAGGCUGGGGACCCUGAAUCACCUCCCCCAGGAUGGACUUUCUGGUUCUCUUCUUGUUCUACUUGGCUUUUGUGCUGAUUGGUGUUGUUAUGAUCUGCAUCUGCUCGAACACCCAUUGCUUGAAAGGCCUGGUCAGAAGAGGAGUACAGAUAAUUUCUUAUAUAAUUCCAGAAUGCCUUCGGAGAGCCAUGCUAAGAUUGCUUCAUUACCUCUUCCAUACACGAAACCACACUUUUGUUAUCCUGCAUCUCAUCUUGCAAGGGAUGGUUUAUACUGAAUACACCUGGGAAAUAUUUGGCCUCUG